GGCCGUGACGAAAACGGCAUCUCUUCUUUCCCAGUCCGAUUCGACCAUGACGAUAUGGGUUUCUACCACGCAGUUCCUUUGGAACUGCUUUUCUUGCCAGUGUGCUUCGAGCACACCAUCUAUUCUCCGAGCC
rnacentral:snoRNA from 1 species